CCUUCUGAUAAUUAGCACACUUGGCUACAAACUUUGCAAUAUUCUUUUUCAUACCGCUCAAUCAAUAUAUUUCCCGCAAAUUACAGUACUUAUUAGCAUCUCCUGGGUAAAUAGAGUAACGCACACCAUGCGCUUCUGGAAGAAUUCAGUGUCUCAAACCAUCUACACCUGGUACACAUAGUCUAUCUUAUCAAUGCAACACACC
rnacentral:lncRNA from 1 species